UACGAAGGGGCUAGGCGUUGCUCGGAAUCACUGGGCGUAAAGGGUGCGUAGGCGGGUCGUUUAAGUCAGGGGUGAAAUCCGUGGAGCUCAACUCCAGAACUGCCUUUGAUACUGAGGAUCUUGAGUACGGGAGAGGUGAGUGGAACUGCGAGUGUAGAGGUGAAAUGCGUAGAUAUCGUAAGGAAGACCAGUGGCGAAGGCGGGUCUCGUGGACAGUCUGACGCUGAGGCAGCGAAGGCCAGGGGAGCAAAACCGGG
rnacentral:rRNA from 1 species